GUACCGCGAACGGCGUCUUCCUCCCACCUCAGGCGUGAAACCCAAAUCAUAGGAGCAUAGGAGCACCGCGAGGCCCAAAGCUCAUCCGUGGAUGAAACCUCAGGCGUCUUCCUCCCAUUUCUCACCGUUCGACCCCUUCUCUUCAGCAAACCCUAAUCCAAAGAGGAACAGAUAAACCCAUUGGAUUUGGAGAUACGGAAACGACGAAUUCGGCUCCAACAUCGAAGAUCAACCUUGAAUACGAGUGGAGUCAGUGUUGCAUCCGCGUGUUCACGAUCUGAAGAAGAACAGGAUCAAGUGAGUUUAGUAGGAUACGCAUUACAAGUUCGUCGCCUUGUCGUCGGGGAAAAGGAACAACAAGGAGAAGAUGAUGCGGCGCAAUUGAUUUCAGCAAUGGAUUGACAUGGACACCCUGCGCAGCUUCCAACAAAAUUUAUUGCAAAUUGUUCUCUUCUUAUGAUCAUCUGAUACACUUCAUGGUAUCCCUUUCUCUGUGACUGUUGCAUCAGAACAAUCAGUGAUGAUGGAUUGAGCUCCUCCAGCCGCACACGAAGACAUUAGCAGGGAAAAUGAUUAUCAUGUUUUCUUUUAGACACUAGCAACUCCAGCUGCGUAUGAAGAAAAGGUCAUCAGAUAUGUUCAAUCAAGCAGCCAACUCUUGCUACCUGACUGGAAAUUUUGGCCUUUAUGAUGUUUUCUCCCUUGAGAAAAGAUGGCGUGACAUGAUCAGAUUUUGUAAUAUGAAAGAGGAAAAAGCAGACUAUAAAAUACCAUCAAAAAUAAUAAACAGGGAUUUGAAUGUUCCUAAUUUAACUAGAGCUAUUGCUUGAUGAUAAAGAUCAAUGUAUCCGAUUCUGACUGUUCUUGGUUUUUUCC